CUCUCACGGCCAGCACGUACAUAAUAUGACAAAAUGAUUUCCUUUCAUUGGAAACCACCGUCCAUAAACUCUACAUUUUCAGCUGAAACUGAAUCUCCUGCAAAAUAAGAGGUGAUGAGACCCAUGCAGGGACAUAGAAACUGAGAAGGUUUCUCGAUGAAAAGGACACUAUGAGCACCAGGACAACUGCUUAUUACAGAGGCUAUGGCGUUAGAAGGUUCCUGUACCUGUGUGUGCACACUUAUGUUUAAUAAUAUUAUUGGUAUUUAUGUAAACGCGCCAACGUAUUCCGCAGCGGUUACAUUGUGUGAUUAAUAAAAUUCCUGCAAAGUGCUUGUCUGCAUAUCCCUUAACGGACAGCUGUCACUUCAAAACGAUGUUUUAGUAUAAUGAUCAUUUCAUCAAGUAUUGAAAGGACAUAGACUUUUCUUUAAAUGAUGUAUAUGCAAAAAUAAAAAACUCAUCCCUACCUUUAGUACAUGAUAGGAUCCUUCAGCCAUUAACAUGAUAGGAUCCUUCAGCCAUAAACACGCACCUUGGAUAAUACAGUGUUUGAAAACCGACAGUUUGUCUCUUGUUGUGGGUGUCUCUGUUUCUGUACAGGGAGUAUUUAGAAUGCACAUCCUCGAUUUGCUACAGUCUCUGUUAAUCACAAUAGGGCUUUAUCAUAGAAAAUGAAUUCUGAUGGAAUAUUACAUAAACUGACCAAUCUGUUCCACUUUCAAAACUUUCUUCUACAACCGUGCUUUACAAAGUACCCACACACAAUGUCCUGGUCAUUUUUAUAAUCUUACACUUUAUAUUCCAGGUUUGAUUGACUUUCUGCUGAUUUGGAACGCAGUGUUGACUAAUGUUUUGCUAGGUUAAACUUGGCAUGUUGUGUCCUAGCCGUUAUAAUUUGCAUCGGAUGGUUACUUAGGCUGACUAAUG